rnacentral:rRNA from 1 species
AUUGAACGCUGGCGGCAGGCCUAACACAUGCAAGUCGAACGAGUGGCGGACGGGUGAGUAACGUCUGGGAAACUGCCUGAUGGAGGGGGAUAACUACUGGAAACGGUAGCUAAUACCGCAUACCAUCGGAUUUGCCCAGAUGGGAUUAGCUAGUAGGUGGGGUCACGGCUCACCUAGGCGACGAUCCCUAGCUGGUCUGAGAGGAUGAACAGCCACACUGGAACUGAGACACGGCCCAGACUCCUACGGGAGGCAGCAGUGGGGAAUAUUGCACAAUGGGCGCAAGCCUGAUAGAGCCAUGCCGCGUGAAUGAAGAAGGCCUGCGGGUUGUAAAGUACUUUCGGCGGGGAAGCGGUACCCGAAGAGAAAGCACCGGCUAACUCCGUGCCAGCAGCCGCGGUAAUAC